rnacentral:rRNA from 1 species
UACGAAGGGGGCUAGCGUUGCUCGGAAUCACUGGGCGUAAAGGGUGCGUAGGCGGGUCUUUAAGUCAGGGGUGAAAUCCCAAGGCUCAACCUUGGAACUGCCUUUGAUACUGGAGAUCUUGAGUCCGGGAGAGGUGAGUGGAACUGCGAGUGUAGAGGUGAAAUUCGUAGAUAUUAGGAAGAACACCAGUGGCGAAGGCGGCUCACUGGCCCGGUACUGACGCUGAGGCGCGAAAGCGUGGGGAGCAAACAGG